GAUGAACGCUGGCGGCGUGCCUAAUACAUGCAAGUCGAGCGAACAGACGAGGAGCUUGCUCCUCUGACGUUAGCGGCGGACGGGUGAGUAACACGUGGAUAACCUACCUAUAAGACUGGGAUAACUUCGGGAAACCGGAGCUAAUACCGGAUAACAUGUUGAACCGCAUGGUUUAACAGUGAAAGACGGUCUUGCUGUCACUUAUAGAUGGAUCCGCGCCGCAUUAGCUAGUUGGUAAGGUAACGGCUUACCAAGGCAACGAUGCGUAGCCGACCUGAGAGGGCGAUCGGCCACACUGGAACUGAGACACGGUCCAGACUCCUACGGGAGGCAGCAGUAGGGAAUCUUCCGCAAUGGGCGAAAGCCUGACGGAGCAACGCCGCGUGAGUGAAGAAGGUCUUCGGAUCGUAAAACUCUGUUAUUAGGGAAGAACAAAUGUGUAAGUAACUAUGCACGUCUUGACGGUACCUAAUCAGAAAGCCACGGCUAACUACGUG
rnacentral:rRNA from 1 species